GCACUAAACAUAUAAUCUCACAACCUGCACCUUUCUUACAUUCUGAGACCCAAACAAAUUCAGCGCCUUCUGUGCUUUGAUUAGUUUUAAAGAUUCUUACCAUGUGUCUUGUGCAAAAUGUUUCAACAUGUUAACAUUCAUUUUCUAAUUAAACUAUAAAAAAAUUAUACUAUAAACGACAAUUUGGUAUAAAUCGGUUCCUACAUGUAAAUGAGUACUAGGAAAGGACAGUGUUCUAAAGCAAGUCAGCCACAAGAUUUUAUGACAUAUUUUUGCACUCAAUUAAAAAAAAUAUUGAUUCUUAUUAAGAUGAUUCCGAAAUUGUUUUCCAAGGACUUACAGUUGUAAUUUCUAUACUGAAAAACUUCUUAAGAUUCAGUAAACAGUAUGGGUGAUGCACUGAUCUCACUUAUUUAAUACAAAUAGCUCUACCAUACCCAUUCUGUUUAAAAAAUCAGUUUUAAUAACCAGUCAGAAAUGGAGCACUUCCAUUGGCUACAUUCAAAUUUUUGUAAAUAGAAUCGACCAAUCAUGUGCCAGCCCUUUUCAGACUGGUUUUCAAAAUGUUAUAAUAUUAUUCAGUUCAUUGUUACAUUCCUUUUGUGUAUUUUUUUUCACUUUUGUACAUUUUUUAGUCAGUUUGUGUUACUAUACAUGUAUAAUGUAUAUUAAUAUUUGAUAUUGUUGACUUUGUAAUGAAUCAUUCCUUUAAAGCCUUGUAUAUCAUUUUGCAUAUGCAAAAUCAUUUGUUUUACUGUUAAUUAUUACAUAAUGUGCUAUCAUUUUUAUAUUAAUAUCAUAUUCUGUCUGAGUUAAGUUUUUGUCCAUUCAUCUUUAAAAUUGUUACAUAAGGUUUCUUUGCUUAAUUUUUGUGAACACCAGUGUUAUAAAGAGUUUUGAGAGUUUCAGGUUACAGAUACCUUGUUGGAUUAGUCUGUAACCUACUUGCCUGAAUGGACUGGUCCAGUAACCAAUUUUUGGAACUGUCCAUUAUCAAUUUUUGGGGAUAUCGAUAUGGAAAGUUAAAGGUUCGUUCAUCAUCAGUAUAAAGACUGGUUGGCUUGGCUCAUGAUACUGAUGAUAAGAGCGGGUCACUUUUAGUUCCAUCAGGUUAAUAAGUGUCAGAGACAUAGAUAACAUUUCAUCUACAUCUCUGAUAGUGUGACACUGCUAAUUUUGAUAGUUGUAGACUUUAUGACUAGAAGGGAAGGAAUUUUAGAUUCACCUAUUGUUUUAACACAUAGAUGGCAUGUAAAUAUCAUUUACAUAUAUUACCUGUUAAUUUGACUGAAAAGUGCAAUAAUUCAUUUCUUAUUAUUACAUAUACUUUCAUUAUUUAGUACUUAUCAUAUGCAGUGUCGUGGUCCAGUUUAGACACAUGACUUGUUCCGACUCAUUCAAUGUUGUUGUUCUAAAACAGCCAAUUUGUAAGAAAAUGAGCUGUCAAAAGAUGACGCACCUUGCAUUAUAUUAUCUACAAAAUAUUUAAAUGUCAGAAAUAUUUCAAUGAAAACGGCAUUGAAGAAACCGGAACUGGUCCUGAACCGGAACGGAUUACUUGACUGUAUAUAUUCAUCAUUGCAUAUAUACAAGGUCAUCGAAAAGAAUAUACUUAUUCUCUGUAAUCUGGAUAGUAUGAAAUUGAUUUAGAAAAAAAAAUCUGUGCAUUUUUUUAUUGAGUUAGAAUUUAAUUAAACAAGAAUAAUUUCAGGUAUAACAUUGAAUUUUAUGUCACAAUUCAAAAAUGCUAUUCGUGAAUUUUUUUAUUUUGUUUGGAGUUUUAUAUAUUUUUUAUUUUUGGUUGUCGGAAACUUGAGAAUAAACCAUUGAAUUUUUAUAGGCACAUUCAUUUUUGUAGCAAAUUUUGUAUACAAGUCAUUAAUAAAAUGAUUUUCUGUUUAUAUUAAUUUGAUAUUUAUAUAUUUCUUUUGUGAUUAAUUUUACAUGUAAUUGAUGAAAGUAGGUUGUUAUGUAAAUUUUUGUCUAGCAUUCAUUAUUCCACCACCAAAGCAAACUAUAGAUGGGUGGGGUAAUUUUACUGUUUUUAAUAUUUGUACUUGUGUUUGUUACAAAACUUUUAUAUUUCUCAUAUUAUUGCAAUGUUUAUAAUUUUGUAUUUGUCCUGUCCCUUUUUAGGUUCAAAGAUUGUAAAAUUGGGUUAAUUGUCCUACUAUCUUACAUAAGUUUUGAAACAAAGCAUUUGAUUGGUUGCUAAAUAUAGCACAAACAAAAACUGUGAAAAAUUGUCUCAUUGGUUAUAUUAAAAACAUUUAUUUUAAAAAAGAAAAGAAAGUGAACCAGGGGUCACACUGGCAUGAAGUAUUUUGGGAUCUACUUUUAGUUCAAAAACAACUUGAAAUAACUAGAAAAGCAAAAUAAUCAUUUAUAAGUUUUUUAAUUGCAACAAAAAAUUUAGAUUAUCUAAGUUAAAAUAUGAAAAAAAUCCACAGUUUUAAAAAAAGUUGUAUUUGACACCUAUAUGUUUCCAUGCAGGUGGGAAAUGCUAUUCCUGUGUACCUAGGAUUUAUAUUAGACCAGUUUUAUAAUCUCUAAUCCUAAAUUUUUCAUUUUAUAUAUUACAUGUAGGGUUUCAUGAAGUAACACCAUUGUUGCGACAAACUCUUUAAGUUUUGUACUUUUAACUCAUAGAACUUUGUCAUGUAUUUGACAAAAACUGCUGUAUGUGAAGAUGAAAAUGAUUGAAAUAAAUAAACUGAUUUAUUUUACAAAAGAA